CCUGGGAAAAGAAUUUGUAAUUUCUUUAAAAUAACCAAGAAAGUUGUAUUUUGUUACUAAGAAAAAUACAUUGAGUAAUGAACUUUGAAGUCAAUUAAUACACUGCUACUCUGAGGUAAAAUGUUACAAAGUUAUACUGGAAACUUAGCUAAGGCAUGGCAAACCAGUAAUGUAAGGGAGUCUUCAUAGAAAACUACUAAUAUGUUAACAUUAAUGUCAAUAUCAGUAGUUACAUUAUGGUAGAGUCAUGUAGUCAUACAUGGGAAGAAGAAGUGCUAUUGUUUGGGUGAGUGUCCCCUAAAGGCUCUUGUGUUGAAGGCUUUGUGGCCAGCCUGUGGUGCUAUUGGGAGAUGGUGGAACCAUUAAGGCAUGGGACCAAGUGGGAAGGAGGAAGGCCACUGGGCACGUACCCUUGAAAGAUAUCUUGGAAACCCAAUCCCUUUCUGCCUCUUUUCUUCCCAACCAGUGAACAUAUUUUCUCUACCACACACUCUGCCAUCACUGCCUUGCACAGGUCCAAAGGCAACAAGGACUGAAAUCUCCAAAACUGUGCAGACCAUAUGCAACAACAGUUCAUGAGAGCUAUGAAGACAUAUUACCCAUAUCCCCAUUCAUAUCAACUCUGAAGUAUCAUCUUUUGUGUAGAAUGACUGAAUUCAUUUUAGAUUCUUCAUAGUAGAAUAAUGCCCAUCCAAAUAUAUCUAUGGCCUAAUCCCCUGAACCUGUGAAUAUAUAAAGUUAAAUGGAAAAAGGGAAUUGCAUAUGGAGUAGGAUUGCUGAUCAGCUAUCUUCAAGAUGGAGAUGUAAUUGUGGAUUGCCUGGAAGAAACUAAUAAUAAGCACAAGAUCCCCUAAAGGUAAAAAAAAAAGGAAACAGGAGAUGAAGUGACAAACUCUGAGACAGACUUGAUGCAUCAUUACUGGCUUCAAAGAUGGAAGAAUGGGACAAGAACCAAGGAAUGUGGGCUAUCUCUAGAAGCUGGAAAAGAAAGAAAAUGGACUUUCUUUGGGGAUUUCUAGAGGGAAACUCAUUUUGGAAGACACCUUGAUUUCAAUUAGGUGAGACCAGUGUUGGAAUUUUAAUCCAUAGCACUGUAAAAUGAUGAAUGUGUGUGUUGUUUUGUGGGGUGUUUUUGGCCAUAUUGUUCGUGGUAAUUUGCUACGACAGCAAAUUAUCUCUCUUUGACCAUGUUGGCUUCCUUCUUUCCCACAGGGAUGUUGAUUCUGAAUGUAUUUCCUAGUCAACUUCAUGCAAUGAAUCUCCAUCUCAAAGUUCUUGUUCACGUGGCACGUGACCUAUAAUAACAUUGCCAAACAUUUGUCUCCUUAAUAUGUUUCCACUUGUAAUACAGAUCUCCUGUUCACCUAAUCAUGAGUGGCACUUCUGAGACAAUUAUAUCAGCUGAAAAACA